rnacentral:lncRNA from 1 species
UCUCCAUCGUUCACAAAUAACAAAUGUCAUAAAUCACAACUCAAAUUUUUAGAUUACAUUAUUUAUUGGUACAAUUUAUGGUCACGUGUUAUUUUUUGUCAUAGGAUAUCCUGAUCAUUGGUUAUAAUCCCAAAUAAUUGGUCACAAACCCUCUUAAUCCCACUACCUACCCCACCCAACCCCAAUCCACUGUGGCACCGUCACCACCACUACCUUCAGGGACUACCAUUUUCAACUUCAAAAUCAUCACUACCACUUCACCACCCCAACCACUGCCACAAACAAGAUCCAACAAAAUCGUCGUCGCUCCAGCCUAAAAAACCAACAAAUCAAAUCCACAACAAAAGUUACACCACUACCACUACCAACACCAACACCAACAACCACCAUUGACACUGACGCCACAUAGUGAUGACCACUACCAACAGCAAACAAAAUGAACAAAAACCACCAAAAAAAAUAAUCAACACAGCCACAACCUUACGAAAAUCACCACAACCUCACAAUGUUACUAAUGCGGCACAAAUUUUCCCCGAUCUUGUCGUUCGCCGCUGAAGCAGAUCUUGAGAUUUCCCUAGAUCCCAACAUCAUCGAGCUAUGGGUCAUUGCGUGGCCUCUGACAAUCCAUCAUUUUCCCACAAAUUUCUCCAAAUCUCGACAUCAUGAAAGCUUUGAGUCGUUGGUCCCUAUAGCUGCACAGCGAUUUAUUUCUAUAUUCCCCAUCUCCUCUAUUUCUCUAAAUUUGUUUGGUGUUGUAUUGAUGGUUGAAGUGAAGAUGGUGGAUUUUUCGUAAUAAUGUUGUCGAUGGAUGCAACGUUGGGAUUGGGGGUUUGGGAAUUUUUUUGAUGGGUGUAGUGGUUGAGUGUGGUGAUAACAUGGUGGUGCUAGGGAGGUGGCAGUAGAAAGGGACGGUUAGAAAAGAAAAGAGAAUGUGGGAUAGAGAGAGGAGAGAAAUGAAAGGGCAAAAAUGAUUAGGGUUUUGCCGUUUUG